CCGAAAAUGUACCGGGGCUAAACAUAUUACCGAAGCUGUGGAUUGUCCUUUGGACAAUGGUAGGAGAGCGUUCUAAGGGCGUUGAAGCAUGAUCGUAAGGACAUGUGGAGCGCUUAGAAGUGAGAAUGCCGGUGUGAGUAGCGAAAGACGGGUGAGAAUCCCGUCCACCGAUUGACUAAGGUUUCCAGAGGAAGGCUCGUCCGCUCUGGGUUAGUCGGGUCCUAAGCUGAGGCCGACAGGCGUAGGCGAUGGAUAACAGGUUGAUAUUCCUGUACCACCUAUAAUCGUUUUAAUCGAUGGGGGGACGCAGUAGGAUAGGCGAAGCGUGCGAUUGGAUUGCACGUCUAAGCAGUAAGGCUGAGUAUUAGGGAAAUCCGGUACUCAUUAAGGCUGAGCUGUGAUGGGGAGAAGACAUUGUGUCUUCGAGUCGUUGAUUUCACACUGCCGAGAAAAGCCUCUAGAUAGAAAAUAGGUGCCCGUACCGCAAACCGACACAGGUAGUCAAGAUGAGAAUUCUAAGGUGAGCGAGCGAACUCUCGUUAAGGAACUCGGCAAAAUGACCCCGUAACUUCGGGAGAAGGGGUGCUCUUUAGGGUUAACGCCCAGAAGAGCCGCAGUGAAUAGGCCCAAGCGACUGUUUAUCAAAAACACAGGUCUCUGCUAAACCGUAAGGUGAUGUAUAGGGGCUGACGCCUGCCCGGUGCUGGAAGGUUAAGAGGAGUGGUUAGCUUCUGCGAAGCUACGAAUCGAAGCCCCAGUAAACGGCGGCCGUAACUAUAACGGUCCUAAGGUAGCGAAAUUCCUUGUCGGGUAAGUUCCGACCCGCACGAAAGGCGUAACGAUUUGGGCACUGUCUCAACGAGAGACUCGGUGAAAUCAUAGUACCUGUGAAGAUGCAGGUUACCCGCGACAGGACGGAAAGACCCCGUGGAGCUUUACUGUAGCCUGAUAUUGAAAUUCGGCACAGCUUGUACAGGAUAGGUAGGAGCCUUUGAAACGUGAGCGCUAGCUUACGUGGAGGCGCUGGUGGGAUACUACCCUAGCUGUGUUGGCUUUCUAACCCGCACCACUUAUCGUGGUGGGAGACAGUGUCAGGCGGGCAGUUUGACUGGGGCGGUCGCCUCCUAAAAGGUAACGGAGGCGCUCAAAGGUUCCCUCAGAAUGGUUGGAAAUCAUUCAUAGAGUGUAAAGGCAUAAGGGAGCUUGACUGCGAGACCUACAAGUCGAGCAGGGUCGAAAGACGGACUUAGUGAUCCGGUGGUUCCGCAUGGAAGGGCCAUCGCUCAACGGAUAAAAGCUACCCCGGGGAUAACAGGCUUAUCUCCCCCAAGAGUUCACAUCGACGGGGAGGUUUGGCACCUCGAUGUCGGCUCAUCGCAUCCUGGGGCUGUAGUCGGUCCCAAGGGUUGGGCUGUUCGCCCAUUAAAGCGGUACGCGAGCUGGGUUCAGAACGUCGUGAGACAGUUCGGUCCCUAUCCGUCGUGGGCGUAGGAAAUUUGAGAGGAGCUGUCCUUAGUACGAGAGGACCGGGAUGGACAUACCUCUGGUGUACCAGUUGUCGUGCCAACGGCAUAGCUGGGUAGCUAUGUGUGGACGGGAUAAGUGCUGAAAGCAUCUAAGCAUGAAGCCCCCCUCAAGAUGAGAUUUCCCAACUUCGGUUAUAAGAUCCCUCAAAGAUGAUGAGGUUAAUAGGUUCGAGGUGGAAGCAUGGUGACAUGUGGAGCUGACGAAUACUAAUCGAUCGAAGACUUAAUCAA
rnacentral:rRNA from 1 species